UUUAACUAAUUCAGGUG
rnacentral:miRNA from 1 species